rnacentral:rRNA from 1 species
AUUGAACGCUGGCGGCAGGCCUAACACAUGCAAGUCGAACGAGUGGCGGACGGGUGAGUAAUGUCUGGGAAACUGCCUGAUGGAGGGGGAUAACUACUGGAAACGGUAGCUAAUACCGCAUACCAUCAGAUGUGCCCAGAUGGGAUUAGCUGGUUGGUGGGGUAACGGAUCACCAAGGCGACGAUCCCUAGCUGGGCUGAGAGGCUGACCAGCCAAACUGGAACGGCGACACGGUCCAGACUCCUACGGGAGGCAGCAGUGGGGAAGAUUGCACAAUGGGCGCAAGCCUGAUGCAGCAAUGCCGCGUGUAUGAAGAAGGUCUUCGGGUUGUAAAGUACUUUCAGCGUGGAGGCGUUACCCGCAGAAGAAGCACCGGCUAACUCCGUGCCAGCAGCCGCGGUAAUUC